rnacentral:lncRNA from 1 species
UAGGCUAGUGUGAUAUAGGAGGAGAGUUGUUGGAAUUUUUGAGUAGCAAGAUUUAAGAUAAGUUUAGAUUUUUCUAUCCCAUCUAUUAUAUUUUCAUCCUUUGUAUUGAAAUUUUGAAAAAGCUAGAUCUCAUUGCUAGUUUUUCAAUAAGCUUUAGCAUGCAAAAAAUGAAGCUGUGGCAAGAGAGAUCUAUGCAAAUUUGUGGAAUAAGGGUCGCUGAAAUUUUUAGGUGACGAGAUUUAAGAUUGAUUUGGAGUUUUCUAUACCAUUUAUUGUAUUUUCAACUUUUUGUUUUGAAAUUUUUAAAGAAGCUAGAUUUUUUUGUUAGUUUUUUAACAAGUCUUAGCAUACAAGAUAGAAAGCUAUAACAAGAGAGAUCUAUGUGAAUUUGUAGGAAGGAGGUUGUUAGAACUUUGAAGCAACAAGAUCUAAGUGUGGUUUGGAUUUUUUCAUUCCAUCUAUUUU